rnacentral:tmRNA from 1 species
GCUUUCCUCGUUAAUCCAGCAGCAAACUUUUAGUUGCCAACGAUGACAACUACGGUUCGGACUUCGCUAUCGCCGCUUAAUUGGCUUUAGUUGUCGUUCUACAGCCGCCUAAGGCGAACCCCCGAACCUACUUGUGCCCGUGCUCGUAGGUGUAGGGUCAUUAUCACGGAACCAUCGGUAGUGGCUGCCUGUCAGCUACCGGUUAGAUAAAGCAGGCUGGUUUUCAGGUGCGCUUUGCCAACCGUGCUGCCUGGGAAUGAGAUCUAACGGAGGGCUAAGCAUGUAGUGCUGGGGAUGGAGUGCUUCCGGAC